AGGAAAAGAUACCGGGGCGUCGAGUGGACAAGCCAGUGGCGACUUGCGUUUGAAAGGCGUGCAUUGAAGGAAAGGAUACCGGAACAUCGAGUGGACAAGUCGGUGGCGAUUUGCGUCUGAAGGGCGUGCACUAAAGACAAGCUAGAUGAAGACUUGGGAAAGAAGCGGGUCAAACGGAUCGAGUACGCGGAAAAAGCACAUAACCGGAUGCAAGGUAAGUGAAACUUACACCUUUUAGUAAAAUAAAUGUUCAUCCUAUAAGUUUCGAAUACAAUAAGGAUAAUAUUCAAGAUAUCGUUCCCGACGCGAAAUAAUACGGGUCAGAACUAAUAUAAAUGAUAAAAACCAUAUUUAAUGGUAAAAGAGAUAGAAUGGUAAAUUAGCCAUGAAAAGCUAAUUAUAAAAAUGAGUUUUUGAACGGUUACUAUAAGUAAGCCUAAUAAAUAAAAAGAGUAAAACGGGUCAAAUGGUAAUGUGGAUACCAUUUGACAAAUAUCGACUAAUAAGCACUUGUCGAGUUUUAUGCUUACAGGAUAAAGCGGCUUAUGAAUUAGCGUUGCUAUGAAUUAGCAAAUUUUUGAGACAAGGUAUUAAAACGGGUCAAUGUAUUGAUCCGAGCCAGGUACGUAUAAUUAUAUUGUAGUUAAAAGUGCUAAUUUGGUCAAUAAUUGGUGAGAGUCUUUCGUCGUAAAAUAAGAGACUAGAAUUGACCAAAAGACCCUUAACGGGCGAACCGAGUAAACGACUAUUAGAGUUUGUUUAGAAACUUGUUUAUUAAUUUUGAAACCCUUAGAUACAUAUAAAAAAGUAUAGGCAAAAACGUUUGCGGGUCAAAAUAGACUAAGAAGUAAAUUGUGGUUAAAUGCUUAGAUAGAUACAAAUGAAUCGGAGAAUGUAAACGCCUACGUAAACUCUAGGAUGAGAGUGAAAACGUUAAGGUUUGACAAGCCCGGGAUGGGUAAAAUGAUAGGAAUUAACUAUUUUCUUUUUAGAGCAUGUAGUGAAAUAAUAAUGCCAAACGGGUCGAAUAAUCACCUAAAGGAUUUAUGAGCCAACAUUGGAUAAAUCAGAUUUUUAUGCAAACCAAGAUGAUAAAGGGGUCGGUAAUUUAAUUACGGACGCGUAGGAAAAAGAAUCGCGUAAAACGGACUUGUAGAUAAAAAGUUAAGACAAUCUCAAGUUUGAUUUUUGUUGAAAAUUAUAGCUGGGCAGAAAAUGCAGGUUUCAGUAAUGAACCCGCUGGAAAUUGGGUUUCCCCGUGACACGCGACGAAGGACUCAGCUUGGGGCGCGACACGCGACACAUUGAGAUGGGUCUCCCGCGACACGCGGGAGACAUCAUAGUUGGAAAUAAAUAUUUUGUUUGAUUAUUCGUUGCUUAGAACUUGUUUCGACUUAUAUUUAAGUUAUCAAAAUUAACUUUUAUGUUGGUUUUGAUCAUAGGUGGAUAUCAAGAGUACCCGGAUGAAGAUCAAGCGGCAAGAAAGAACUGAACACAUGAAAAAGAAGCUUCCGCACGGUGUGUCGUAGUAACUUUCAAACGACGACUAAACUACAUUAUGUUGUAUAUUUUUUUUUAAAUUGAAAAAGUUUUUAAUAAACCUGUA